rnacentral:pre_miRNA from 1 species
GAUCUGCGAAUCUUGGCACUGGAAGAAUUCACAGACUAAUUAUUGAAGAUCGUGAGUCUCCUGGUGUCAACUAUUGCGGAUC